UACGGAGGGUGCAAGCGUUAUCCGGAUUCACUGGGUUUAAAGGGAGCGUAGGUGGGGUGGUAAGUCAGUGGUGAAAUCUCCGGGCUUAACUCGGAAACUGCCGUUGAUACUAUCAUUCUUGAAUAUUGUGGAGGUAAGCGGAAUAUGUCAUGUAGCGGUGAAAUGCUUAGAUAUGACAUAGAACACCAAUUGCGAGGGCAGCUUACUACACAGUUAUUGACGCUGAGGCACGAAAGCGUGGGGAUCAAACAGG
rnacentral:rRNA from 1 species